GAUGAACGCUAGCGACAGGCUUAACACAUGCAAGUCGAGGGGCAGCAGGGGAGUAGCAAUACUCCCGCUGGCGACCGGCGCACGGGUGAGUAACACGUAUGCAACCUGCCCUUGUCAGGGGGAUAAGCGGAAGAAAUUCCGUCUAAUACCGCAUAAUGCUGCGGGGAGACAUCUCCCUGCAGCCAAAGAUUUAUCGGACAAGGAUGGGCAUGCGGCGCAUUAGCUUGUUGGCGGGGUAACGGCCCACCAAGGCGACGAUGCGUAGGGGUUCUGAGAGGAAGGUCCCCCACACUGGUACUGAGACACGGACCAGACUCCUACGGGAGGCAGCAGUGAGGAAUAUUGGUCAAUGGCCGGGAGGCUGAACCAGCCAAGUCGCGUGAGGGAAGACGGUCCUAUGGAUUGUAAACCUCUUUUGUCAGGGAGCAAAAACUGCCACGUGUGGCAGGAUGAGAGUACCUGAAGAAAAAGCAUCGGCUAACUCCGUGCCAGCAGCCGCGGUAAUACGGAGGAUGCGAGCGUUAUCCGGAUUUAUUGGGUUUAAAGGGUGCGUAGGCGGACAGUUAAGUCAGCGGUAAAAUUGAGAGGCUCAACCUCUUCCCGCCGUUGAAACUGAUUGUCUUGAGUGGGCGAGAAGUAUGCGGAAUGCGUGGUGUAGCGGUGAAAUGCAUAGAUAUCACGCAGAACUCCGAUUGCGAAGGCAGCAUACCGGCGCCCAACUGACGCUGAAGCACGAAAGCGUGGGUAUCGAACAGGAUUAGAUACCCUGGUAGUCCACGCAGUAAACGAUGAAUACUAAUUGUUCGGGUCAAAUGAGAUCUGAGUGAUACAGCGAAAGCGUUAAGUAUUCCACCUGGGGAGUACGCCGGCAACGGUGAAACUCAAAGGAAUUGACGGGGGCCCGCACAAGCGGAGGAACAUGUGGUUUAAUUCGAUGAUACGCGAGGAACCUUACCCGGGCUCAAACGACACAGGAAUGAUCUGAGAAAUCAGGCAGUCCUCCGGGACCUGUGUCGAGGUGCUGCAUGGUUGUCGUCAGCUCGUGCCGUGAGGUGUCGGCUUAAGUGCCAUAACGAGCGCAACCCCCAUCGACAGUUGCCAGCAGGUCAAGCUGGGCACUCUGUCGAGACUGCCGGCGCAAGCUGUGAGGAAGGCGGGGAUGACGUCAAAUCAGCACGGCCCUUACGUCCGGGGCGACACACGUGUUACAAUGGCAGGUACAGCGGGAAGCCACCUGGCGACAGGGUGCGGAACCCGAAAGCCUGUCUCAGUUCGGAUUGGAGUCUGCAACUCGACUCCAUGAAGCUGGAUUCGCUAGUAAUCGCGCAUCAGCCACGGCGCGGUGAAUACGUUCCCGGGCCU
rnacentral:rRNA from 1 species